CGUGCACCGGAGCACAAACAUCUCAGAGGAAAGGCAGGGGCUAAAAAUAGCCGCGUUAUCGUCACUUUCGUUAUCGGCCAUGUCCACACAGGCGAGAAGCGACCUCGAGGCGAGGUGUUUUCCCCUCCAGUGAGGAGCCUUUUCCAGAGCCUGCGUGAAGAGGGCACCCCACAAAGGCCUGCCGAGCUGAGGAAGUGAGGCAGUUGUCGGGAGGAAGCGUCUGUCUGCUGCAAAACCUUUUGGGCGCCCACGCUGUGGCUGUACAGGCCCGUGUCUGAGGGCGGACGAAGCACGGGAACGCAGAGCCAACACCCACAAUCUGCAGCAGUGACCUUUUGUUGAACAAAUGGGAAGCUCAUGAGGGGAUUCAGAAGUCAUGGAGGAACAGGGUGAAGGAUGUGGGUUGUUACCCGAUCACAGGUGCAUGUUAAGGAGACU